UACGGAGGGUGCGAGCGUUGUCCGGAAUCAUUGGGCGUAAAGGGCGCGUAGGUGGCCCGGCAAGCGUGCGGUGAAAGUCGGGGGCUCAACCCCCGAUCGGCCGUGCGAACUGCGGGGCUGGAGCACUGUAGAGGCAGGCGGAAUUCCGGGUGUAGCGGUGGGAAUGCGUAGAGAUCCGGAAGAACACCGGUGGCGAAGGCGGCCUGCUGGGCAGUAGCUGACACUGAGGCGCGACAGCGUGGGGAGCAAACAGG
rnacentral:rRNA from 1 species